rnacentral:misc_RNA from 1 species
UCCCCGUUACCGGGGCAGUCUGGCUAGAAAAAUACAACUAACCAUAGGGGUUGCGCUCGUUGAUGGACUUAACCAAACAUCUCACGACACGAGCUGACGACGGCCAUGCAACACCUGUCUUUAGGUUCCCGAAGGCACUCACUGCUUUCACAGUAAUUCCUAAGAUGUCAAACCUUGGUAAGGUUCUUCGCUUACCAUCGAAUUAAACAACACGCUCCACCGCUUGUGCGGGUCCCCGUCAAUUCCUUUGAGUUUUAGUCUUGCGACCGUACUCCCCAGGCGGGAUACUUAACGCGUUAGCUUCGCUACAUACCGGGUCGAUACGGCAUACAGCUAGUAUCCAUCGUUUACGGCGUGGACUAC